UACGUAGGGGCCUAGCGUUGUCCGGAUUUAUUGGGCGUAAAGAGCUCGUAGGCGGCCUGUUGCGUCCGCUGUGAAAGCCCGGGGCUUAACCCCGGGUCGGCAGUGGAUACGGGCAGGCUAGAGGUAGGUAGGGGAGAAUGGAAUUCCCGGUGUAGCGGUGAAAUGCGCAGAUAUCAGGAGGAACACCGAUGGCGAAGGCAGGUCUCUGGGCCACUACUGACGCUGAGAAGCGAAAGCAUGGGGAGCGAACAGG
rnacentral:rRNA from 1 species